rnacentral:rRNA from 1 species
CUGUACCGCAAGAAUAAGCAUCGGCUAACUCCGUGCCAGCAGCCGCGGUAAUACGGAGGAUGCGAGCGUUAUCCGGAUUCAUUGGGUUUAAAGGGUGCGCAGGCGGUGGGACAAGUCAGUGGUGAAAGCCCUGGGCUUAACUCAGGGAUUGCCAUUGAAACUGUUUCACUUGAGUGUAGUUGAGGACGGCGGAAUGAGUUGUGUAGCGGUGAAAUGCAUAGAUAUAACUCAGAACACCAAUUGCGAAGGCAGCUGUCCAGACUACAACUGACGCUGAGGCACGAAAGCGUGGGGAGCGAACAGGACUAGAUACCCUGGUAGUCCACGCUGUAAACGAUGAUCACUCGUUGUUGGCUACAAGGUAGUCAGUGACUAAGGGAAACCAUUAAGUGAUCCACCUGGGGAGUACGUCGGCAACGAUGAAACUCAAAGGAAUUGACGGGGGCCCGCACAAGCGGAGGAACAUGUGGUUUAAUUCGAUGAUACGCGAGGAACCUUACCUGGGCUUAAAUGCAGGCUGCAUUCAUGUGAAAGCGUGAUUUCCUACGGGACUGCCUGCAAGGUGCUGCAUGGUUGUCGUCAGCUCGUGCCGUGAGGUGUCGGGUUAAGUCCCAUAACGAGCGCAACCCCUAUCGCUAGUUGCCAGCAUGUAAUGGUGGGGACUCUAGCGAGACUGCCGGUGUAAACCGGAGGAAGGUGGGGAUGACGUCAAGUCAUCAUGGCCUUUAUGCCCAGGGCUACACACGUGCUACAAUGGCCAGUACAGAGGGUAGCGAAGCCGCGAGGUGAAGCCAAUCCCAGAAAGCUGGUCCCAGUUCGGAUUGGAGUCUGGAACUCGACUCCAUGAA